rnacentral:tRNA from 1 species
AGCCUCGUGGUGUAGUGGUCUAGCAUCAUGCCCUCUGGCGGCAUGGACCUCGGUUCGAAUCCGAGCGAGGCUA